rnacentral:rRNA from 1 species
UUUGAACGAUGGGGGGACGCAGCAGGAUAAGGAAAGCGCACUGUCGGAUAGGUGCGCCCAAGCAGUGAGGGAGUUGGGCAGGUAAAUCCGUCCAAUAAUGCCAAGCUGUGAUGGGGAGGGAAAAUGAGUACCGAAGUUCCGGAUUCCACACUGCCAAGAAAAGCCUCUAGUGAGUUCACAGGUGCCCGUACCGCAAACCGACACAGGUAGGCACGGAGAGUAUCCUAAGGUGAUCGGGAGAACUCUCGUUAAGGAACUCGGCAAAAUGACCCCGUAACUUCGGGAGAAGGGGUGCUCGAGAAAUCCUUGAGCCGCAGUGAAUAGGCCCAAGCGACUGUUUAGCAAAAACACAGGUCUCUGCGAAGCCGAAAGGCGAAGUAUAGGGGCUGACACCUGCCCGGUGCUGGAAGGUUAAGGGGAAGCGUUAGCGCUGCGUGCGCGAAGCGGCGAACCGAAGCCCCAGUAAACGGCGGCCGUAACUAUAACGGUCCUAAGGUAGCGAAAUUCCUUGUCGGGUAAGUUCCGACCCGCACGAAAGGUGCAACGACUUGGGCACUGUCUCAACGAGAGACCCGGUGAAAUUAUACUAUGCGUGAAGAUGCGCAUUACCCGCGACAGGACGGAAAGACCCCGUGGAGCUUUACUGCAGCCUGAUAUUGAAUGUUGGUACAGCUUGUACAGGAUAGGUGGGAGCCGUCGAAACGUGAGCGCCAGCUUACGUGGAGGCACCCGUGGGAUACCACCCUGGCUGUACGGACAUUCUAACCCAGGACCGUGACCCGGUCCGGAGACAGUGUCAGGCAGGCAGUUUGACUGGGGCGGUCGCCUCCCAAAAGGUAACGGAGGCGCCCAAAGGUUCCCUCAGAAUGGUUGGAAAUCAUUCAUAGCGUGUAAAGGCAGAAGGGAGCUUGACUGCGAGACCUACAAGUCGAGCAGGGACGAAAGUCGGGCUUAGUGAUCCGGUGGUUCCGCAUGGAAGGGCCAUCGCUCAACGGAUAAAAGCUACCCCGGGGAUAACAGGCUUAUCUCCCCCAAGAGUUCACAUCGAC